rnacentral:tRNA from 1 species
GGGUUGUGGCUCAGUGGUAGAGCGCUUGCCUAGCACGUGUGAGGCACUGGGUUGGAUCCUUAGCACCCA